AUAAACCGCUGCUGGAGCUGGCUGCAAGG
rnacentral:sRNA from 1 species